rnacentral:lncRNA from 1 species
GCUUUCUGUUUCUUUAAGUUGGAAGAGCUUUCCUCUCCAUCAUCUCAUGUGCUGUCUCAUUCCUGUUUUACAGAUGAGCACACUGGAUUUCAGAUGAGCAGAGUGGUUCAGUGAUUUGCUGAAGGCAGCACAGCUUCCAAGGGUCCGCACUCCGGUCUCUACAUGCGUAACUGAGUGCUGCAGUGAGGACACAUCAGUCAGUAUCUGUGAGGAGGAAGAGGCUGACCUCUCACGUAAGAAGCAGGAGGAUGGUGAUCUAGAACAUUCUUCUGGAGGUCCUAAGGUCCUGCAGCUAAGCACAAUCGCCUCUAGAAGAAGAUGUCUUCCUUCUCUGAAAUCCUCCUGGAGCUGCGAUGGCGACCUGGAAGGAAC